AUACGUAGGGGGCGAGCGUUGUCCGGAAUGAUUGGGCGUAAAGGGCGCGUAGGCGGCGCGGUAAGUCUGGAGUGAAAGUCCUGCUUUCAAGGUGGGAAUUGCUUUGGAUACUGCCGCGCUUGAGUGCAGGAGAGGUUAUCGGAAUUCCCGGUGUAGCGGUGAAAUGCGUAGAGAUCGGGAGGAACACCAGUGGCGAAGGCGGGUAACUGGACUGCAACUGACGCUGAGGCGCGAAAGUGUGGGGAGCAAACAGGAUUAGAUGCCCUGGUAGUCCACACUGUAAACGAUGAAUGCUAGGUGUAAGAGGUAUCGACCCCUUUUGUGCCGGAGUCAACACAAUAAGCAUUCCGCCUGGGGAGUACGUCCGCAAGGUUGAAACUCAAAGGAAUUGACGGGG
rnacentral:rRNA from 1 species